GGCGGCGUAGCUCAGCUGGCGAGAGCGUACGGUUCAUACCCGUAAGGUCGGGGGUUCGAUCCCCUCUGCCGCCAUCA
rnacentral:tRNA from 1 species